rnacentral:lncRNA from 1 species
GCGGGGGCGCGCGGGGGCACGGGGGCGCGCCCCGGCCGGGCGCCCCGAGGCGGCAGCCGCGGCUCCGAGCGCUGCCCUGGGCACGCGUGGGGGCCGCUCUUGCUCGAGGUCUGUUACUGGGGAGGGGGCGAAAAGCGCCGCCGCAGCGCGCGUGGGGAACCCCGAAGGCGCCCACGAUUGAACGGGGUCAGAGGCCCUGCGGAGCUAAUGCAAGUUAUACAGUCGAUUACUCGAACCCCCAACGGGGAGGAAGCGCUUCCUUGCCGAAGCGGGGCGUGCCGUUACCCGGAAAAAGAAAAAAAAGAGGCAAAAGCAAGUAGAUGAUAAACAGAAAAAAGAGAGAUCUGAAGAAGGUAGGAUUUCCGCGUACGGUGAGGUUGAGGAGGCGGGAGAAGCGCCCCCUACCUCCGCCCACGAAGCGAACGCAGCGAGGGGUCGCAGCAAUCCGCGAGGCCAGCGGUCCGUUCCAUCCAGGAAAACUUAGUCCUCCCUGUCAACGUGGUUUCGGAAGCCAGCAGACCUCCACUGCGGACUUUCUUCAAAGGAAGCUGGUGACUGGACCCUGACCCUCAGCAGAGUUGCAACGCCUACUCUCCAGUUCCCUGGACUCGACCAGGACAACUAACGAGGAGGUGAGGAGCGACAACCACCACACCAAGAAGCGAGCGAGUCUACAACUGCAAGCAAGAGCCUCCCACAUCAGCCAUGUAGGAUCGAGGGCCCCUCUCAAUUAGAGGAGAGUGGGCAUCACCGUCCCAGACUCCUCAGGAUUGGGGAAUAAAAUAUGGAUUAGAGUGGACUUACUGGUAUUCUACUGUAGACUUAUUGUGAUCCUAGCGAUGGAGGAAAUUAUAUCAUGGAUGUAGAGACAGUGGCUAUUGGAGGUGCUGAAGUCAGGAAGAGGGAUAAAGAGGUGUAAUAUGGGGGCAAUUUCAGGACUCAGAAUUGUCCUCAGUGACAUUGCAAUGGCAGAUACAGGCCAUUAUAUAUCCUGCCAGAACCUACGGAAUUGAGUGGCAAAGAGUGUAAACUACAAUGUAAACUCUAAUCCGCAAUUGGUGGCAAUGUUACAAAAUGUGUUCAUCAGUUGCAAUGAAUGUACCACACUAAGGAAAAGAGUUGUUGAAGUAGGGAAGGGUGGGAGGUGUGGGGAGUGGGGCACAAGGGAAUCCCUUAUAUUUUUUAAUGUAACAUUUCAUGUAGUCUAAGUAUUUUUUAAAAAUAAAUUAAAAAUGUAUUUUAAAAAAGCAGCUGGUGAAAUCAGGUGAAUCAAUUUCCCAAGUGUCAGAAGAUGUUUUUGAAAUCUUGUUAUAUCUCAACCUCUGUCUUUAGAACACUUCUCGUGGAAACUUUUUAUCUUUUUCCUCUGAAGUACCAGGUUUAUAUCAAUAAAACUAAAUCUACCAUGCAUUUUGUUCUCCCAUAUCCUUAUUUUUAAUG